CCGGCGCGUGCGCAUUGGGGGCUCCCCCGCGCGCCCCCUCAGGGUACGGGGUGGUCCGACCCCCCCCCCAAAGAUAAAGGUCCUCCCCGUAGUCACUGGGGGUUUUGUGGUGGUUAAAAUCUAGCUGAUCUGUAGGGGACAAAAUUAAUGUUUUGGGGGGUUAAACCUGAGUUAAUCGGUAAGGGAGAGAAUGGACACACUGAGGUGAAAAUGAGGUGGUCAGCAGUGGACGGGAAGGGAGAGAACGGGCGUUUUGAGGUAAACUGAGGGAAGAGCCAGAAAGGAAAGGCUGAAGGAGAGAGGCAGCAGGGUUUUAUCUCCAAGGGGUGAAUCAGCAAGACGUUUGGUCCUGCUCCCAAGGGAUGUCUUUAUGCCUGCUCCCGUGUUGGCAGACCCGAGGCUGCUGUUUGUGUCUCUAACAGCAGAUAGAUCAGGAGAUAAGGAUUCAACUACAGGAAUAGAAUGAGAAAAAGGUGCCUCUUUCUGAGCAGACAAUUAUUCCACCCACACUUACUCAUCAUCAAGGUGUUAAUAUUCUAUUCCUAAGGCUAUUUAACAGAUUCUCAGCCUCAAGGCUGGUAAUGUUUGUGCAGUUACUCUGCCAGUUGCCACAGGUGUCUUUUUACAGAAGACUUGAAUAAUUAACAUGGGAUAGUCCCGAAGAUGGCAGUAGCCAGGAGCCAUUCUUCAGGAGACUCCCAGCGUUCUUCCUGCUGCUGAGCAGGGUUGGUAUUACCAGCAGGAGGACACAUUUGAAAACCCUGUUUCCAUAUGCAGACAGAGCCUUAGUCCCUGAAGGCACAGGCUGUUUCCAGGAAAAUAAAGGCUCUGGUUCCCAAGCCCUAGUGAUUCACCCUGGAGAAGUUUAGGAUAUCACUGUUCUGCAUUACUGAGGUGCUGGAGGCAGCUGUCCCAAAGAAGAGGUGGCCCAGUGAAUGCUGUGGGCAGUGCAAACUGUUUCAGCCCUGAGCCUGAUGCACUCAUGUAAAUCUGAUUUCAGCUGAUACCAAUUUGCGGUGAUGUCCUGGACUGAGAACUGCAGACACGAGUGAUUUAAUUCAAGAUCAUAUCAAUGUAUUUUGCUGUGGUGGCUAAAGAAUUUAUUACCUCUAGCUGUGGAGAUGGGUUACCCUUUCAGUUAGGGCAGCUAAACCCAGCAGGGACUGUCAGAGCCAUCAGAUGAGAGAGAAAGGGCCAGAGUGGACAUCAAUCGCAAAGCAGUUGUAAAAUAAGUAGUAUAGUGGUUUUAAGAGAAAAGAUGUUCUGCUGAUGUCCUGCCAGCACAGAACAAGGAAGUGAGGAGUUUGGUAUGUACAUCAUAUCUAGACAUUCUUUUUGACUUUGCUUAAGUUCUUCAGCCUCCCUCUAGUGUUGGCUAAUCCAGGGCUUUGGAACCCCUCUGGGCUCACAGGCCCAGGAGCCAUGCCUGGAUCUGGGCUGUGACACAAACAUGGUGCCUGUUGCUGGUUUCCAAACAAAGGAAAUGCCAAGGCUGGAUCAGACAAGACUCACAGCAUGUUCCACCAGCUUUCUGACUCAGGUACGUGGAGAAUGAGGGCCCCAGCAUGUGCUGUGCCUUGUAGCACCAGGUCACUUUGGUAUGUCCCUGCUGCACACCGUAGGUAAUAACUGCAUUUCCUUAUUUCAUUCCGUAUUGUGAGAAUAAAUGCAUUCAUAAAUGUAAUUACCAGAUGCUACAGAGGUGAGGGCAUCUUUGGUGGAUUUCUUUUAGUUCUUUUGUUUCUUUAAAUACAUCGGUAAAAUUUGAUCAAAACUAGUAUUUGCUUUUCUAAGCUGUACUAAUUUAUGGUCAGACUGUGUGUGGGAGCAGGGGCAGGAAGAAAGGAACAUGUACUUGUGCUACGUGUGACCAGCACAAAGCCGCCGGACCAUGAGAAACACAGGGAAUGCUCUGCGGCGACUUCUCUGGGAGUCUGCAGUGCUUCACAAAGCAUAAGGAACAGUAUGGACAGGGCAGGAACUGCUGGAUUCGUGGACCUGUCUCUUCCCUCUGCAGGUCUGCACAGCCAGCUAGCGACAUUCAGGACUAUACCAUGCUCUCUAACCCUCUCAGUGAGCGUUUCAGUCUGUAAUGCUGAAAAUAUAUGGAAGUCGUAUGUUUUCUAGCAACAGAUAAUGCUUUCUGAAUCCACUUCUGUAGCAUUAGGCUGCAGCUCUCACAGUGAGAUAGCAUUCACAGUAGCAGAGACCAUGAAGAAAUUAGAAAUUUAUAAAACGCAUACAAAAUAAGUUUUAAAAAUACGUUUUAUAAAUAUUCUUGUAGUUACAUUUCAGAUAGAUGAGUGUUAAGAUUUCUGUUAAUCUGAAAAUUAAUGUCUAAAACCACGGGAAGAAAAAG